rnacentral:rRNA from 1 species
GACUCAGUGAAAUUGAACUCGCUGUGAAGAUGCAGUGUACCCGCGGCAAGACGGAAAGACCCCGUGAACCUUUACUAUAGCUUGACACUGAACAUUGAGCCUUGAUGUGUAGGAUAGGUGGGAGGCUUUGAAGCGUGGACGCCAGUCUGCGUGGAGCCGACCUUGAAAUACCACCCUUUAAUGUUUGAUGUUCUAACGUGGACCCGUAAUCCGGGUUGCGGACAGUGUCUGGUGGGUAGUUUGACUGGGGCGGUCUCCUCCUAAAGAGUAACGGAGGAGCACGAAGGUUGGCUAAUCCUGGUCGGACAUCAGGAGGUUAGUGCAAUGGCAUAAGCCAGCUUGACUGCGAGCGUGACGGCGCGAGCAGGUGCGAAAGCAGGUCAUAGUGAUCCGGUGGUUCUGAAUGGAAGGGCCAUCGCUCAACGGAUAAAAGGUACUCCGGGGAUAACAGGCUGAUACCGCCCAAGAGUUCAUAUCGACGGCGGUGUUUGGCACCUCGAUGUCGGCUCAUCACAUCCUGGGGCUGAAGUAGGUCCCAAGGGUAUGGCUGUUCGCCAUUUAAAGUGGUACGCGAGCUGGGUUUAGAACGUCGUGAGACAGUUCGGUCCCUAUCUGCCGUGGGCGCUGGAGAACUGAGGGGGGCUGCUCCUAGUACGAGAGGACCGGAGUGGACGCAUCACUGGUGUUCGGGUUGUCAUGCCAAUGGCACUGCCCGGUAGCUAAAUGCGGAAGAGAUAAGUGCUGAAAGCAUCUAAGCACGAAACUUGCCCCGAGAUGAGUUCUCCCUGAGACUUAGAGUCUCCUGAAGGAACGUUGAAGACGACGACGUUGAUAGGCCGGGUGUGUAAGCGCAGCGAUGCGUUGAGCUAACCGGUACUAAUGAACCGUGAGGCUUAACCUU